UAAUCACAAUAUCCAAAUAUAUGCCAUUAUAACACUACAAGUUAUACAUAGUAUAAGCUGGAUUGCUGUCGCUGCAAAUCUCGAAUAAUAACUUUUCUAUCUAUUCGUGCAGUUCAUUGUCACUCCGAGGGAUUCUCAGGAGCCCCUCCUGCCUCAACCUUUUGCCUAUAUUAACUGACUUCAAUUUCAACUCUUCCUCCCUUCGAGGAUCUGGUCAUGAAGCCAUGCGUUUAUCAGUUUUCCUAGAUGCUACGAAUACACCAUCACAUUAACUUCUAGCUUCCCUGCAUCAAGCAUCAGUAAUCUAGUCAUAUGUCCGCUCAUCCUCUCAAAUACUACAAACUUUAAUACAUGGUGAGAGACAUGGUACGAGACUGUAAAUCUGUCUUGAUUAUGAAUUAAGGAGUUUCACUAUUAGGAGAACGACUGGAGUUAUGAAACCCAAAUCUCUGAAUGUGAGUUUACCUUUUCCAUUCCAAGCAGAUAUGAUUGAUCCCAUAUUAACUAACACAUAGGAUGGUCGGCAUCCUCUCUGCCUUUGUUUCCAGAAUCAGGUGCAAAAAGCGCUGAGCUUUCUCAGCAGUCGAUUUCAUAUAUUCAUUCAGCUCCAGCUGCCACCUCAACCCUCAUCAGACUUUGCAACACCGACAUCUGCUGUUCAAAUAAAUAAAACACUCUGCAACCUUCUGCAUUCUGACACUACUACAUGGCUACAGCCUUAGCCCCAGCAACCAAAUCAUUGUACACCACCGGAUGGAACACAUUUACAACUUUCUACACUCAAAACCAAAUAUAUCCCAUCCUGCUUCAAAGAGCAAUGGAUUCUAGCCUCCAUCUCUCAUGCAAGGGAUUCUCUUCACUUAGCCCCCACUACCAUUAAAGCCUACAUCUCUGGAAUUCAGUAUUUCUACUGCCUCAACUCUAUCCUUUCCCUAACACUUCUAUCCAUCCCAUCAGUCCACUUGACACUGUCCAUUCAGUGAGCUGACCAUGGAACUACUAUGUCUAACUGCUUUUUUGGAUUCCUCAGAUGCUCAGAGUUUACCAUCCCAUCAGCUUCCACCCUCCCAGCGACAAGAUAGGUCAUCACAUUCAUCUACUCUCGUUUCCAGAGCAGGUCUUUCCCCUUGAUUUUAUACCCCUCAUUCGUUUAGGAUGGGAGCAGCAACCUCAGCAGCCAGCGCUAACAUCAAUCUCCACCUAAUCAAGAGUAUGGGGCACUGGACUUCAUCAGCAGUAGAUACAUACGUUUGCCCAUCUCCCACCGACAUUGCCACAGUCCAUCAGAAAAUAGUUAACAUGCCCAGAGUAGGGGCUACCUGACCGCUGGGGCUACCAGAGGUUUUUCCCCUUUUAGAAGGGGUUGUUUUCCUUUCCACUGAGCAGCAGGUAAACACAUAAACCAUUACACACUAACCUUUCUACCCCUCUCUGAUUGUCUCGUAUGUCAUUUCAUUCUUGAAUCUAUGUUAUGCAGUGGCACGUGCUCUGUUGUCUGUUUCAUGGUGAUGUUCUGUGGUGAGCCGGGGGUCCAUUCUUUGAGGGAUAAGUGAGCCUCAAUUCCCCGACCUUAGGCUUCCUCAACUUUAUUUAAGGGAAGUUCUCACCAUGUGAGUUAGAGGGGACCCCUGGCCACACUAUCCUUUCGCAGCUCAUCUUACCUCAGUGCAGUGAGGCUCUAUACUAUAUUUAACAUUUCGGGAUGUGGCCCGCUUUAAUUUCUCAGUGUUUGAGUCCCAACUAACCCAUCUAUUCUUGUUCUUUACAGGUUCCCUCCGGGACGCUUAUCUGCUCCUGGCUUCCACUGUCUCACCUCAUUCGAGGGCAGCACCACAUCGGUCAGGGAACCCUUUUACUUUUAUUUCCUUUCAGGUCUCAGCAAGACCUAUUCUCACCCUGCAAGGCGACUCUGUCACAGCAGAAUUUUUCUUAGUUUUUCAGAUCACCGGGGCCGCAGCCUUCAAGACCAGGCCCUUUCCUCCGCAGGACUCUGGUGGGGGAUCUCUUUUCUAUCCAGACUGCAGUCUGUUCAGAAGUCCAGGCCGCAGCCCACUUCUCUAAGUCGUGCCCCCUUUGCCCGUUACUGUCACACUAACACCUCCUUUCUGCCUUCUAUGUGCUAACUACACUAUAGUCCCAGCAGGCGCCCAGUGAAAUACCUUCUAUUUGGUAAAUUUAGAAAUAUAACAUAUAAUAUAGUGUAAAUAUGAACACAUUUACUUAGGCCGGCUGGUAUAAUAGACCUGCUUUAGGGAAUCAGUAAGUAAUUUAGGCCAUUGGCCCAGUAUAUAAAUAUAUUUCCAGCAUGUAAACUUGCAAGAACAUUAAUACAAACAAUGGCUGAGGGAAAUCAAGGUGGAUAAUACAUUACUUUGCUAAAUUAAUUUAGAAAAUACAUGAUCUAAAUAACUAAAUAUACAUGAUCUAAAUUAGCAUAAUUUAUAUAGCUACAGUAAAGAGGUUUUACACAAAACUUAAAUUUUUUUACUACUAAAAAUGAUGGCCCAAAUAAUUAUCGCUUAAUUUUUAAAACAUCUUUAAUGAAUACAAAUGUAUGAUGUCUCUGUAUAAACUUUUGUUGCUGUUAUGGCAUUUCGAUUAUAAAAAAUAGUCUAGUGAGAUUGUCUUAAUAAAUGGUAUUGCACCCUAGAUACGUUUCAGUGGAUCUACAGAAAAGGACAUUCACUGCUAUGGAAUCAGUGUAUUGCUGUGUGUGUGACCCAGGCCUGAUUUAUAAGGACAUUUGUGUUUUGGGAGGAUUGAUUGCUUACUUUCUUUAUAUUAACUCUGUCUCACAAAUGACCAAGUAAAUAAAUGAAUAGUUAUUGAAUACUACAUGUGUAGUUACAUCAAGCACGGGAAAUCUUAUCCAUGAUUUAAUCAUCUCUUUGCAGCAGACCUGUGAUCGUGAUUCUUCAUUUUGUUCUAACAGUGCCGGCCUGCAGCCACCAAGUGAAAGUGUUGAAAAGCUUGUUGCUUUGUUUGGCACAAGUCCUGCUUUUCAAAAGUCCAAGAAGCCGAGAAGAGGCAGCAGUCUUGGGUAACUAUUUACUUA